rnacentral:rRNA from 1 species
AGCGAACGCUGGCGGCAGGCUUAACACAUGCAAGUCGAGCAUGCAUAGCAAUAUGUCAGCGGCAGACGGGUGAGUAACGCGUGGGAACGUACCUUUUGGUUCGGAACAACACAGGGAAACUUGUGCUAAUACCGGAUAAGCCCUUACGGGGAAAGAUUUAUCGCCGAAAGAUCGGCCCGCGUCUGAUUAGCUAGUUGGUGAGGUAAUGGAUCACCAAGGCGACGAUCAGUAGCUGGUCUGAGAUGAUGAUCAGCCACAUUGGGACUGAGACACGGCCCAAACACCUACGGGAGGCGGCAGUGGGGAAUAUUGGACAAUGGGCGCAAGCCUGAGCCAGCCAUGCCGCGUGAGUGAUGAAGGCCCUAGGGUUGUAAAGCUCUUUUGUGCGGGAAGAUAAUGACGGUACCGCAAGAAUAAGCCCCGGCUAACUUCGUGCCAGCCGCCGCGGUAA